UGACAAUACACCAAAACGGGGCGAAAUAGAGAGAGGUGCAUUUGACGAUGAGGAUAUCAUCUAUGUUGAGAUGAGCGCGAACCCCGUGAGGGACAUGUCGGAUCAUCCACCAGGAGCCGAGGCUGACGGAUGACGACACGAUCUUCCCUCUUAUUGACAAGCCGAAGAAGCCGGCCAUGAGAGAAGGCGACGAGAAACUCAAACCAGAAUUCGACGUAAUGUGAAGACACGAGACGGGUCGUGGAUUGAAAGAAACGCGUCUGCCAGUAUCACACGAUGGAGGAACGAUACAGGUGUCAUUUGGACAGACGUGAGGCCAUCAGCGUUUGACAGUUCAACCUUUGCAGUUUUUACUGGAAGGGCGUCGGUCAUCCCUUACAGCGGCGACCUGGAGAGCAAGACGAAUCAAGAAGAGGCGCCCAAAGAUCUGCACGGAGCACAAGACACAUCAGGAAGGAACGAAGGCUCCACAGACUGCGGGAAGACCCGCAUGGACUUGGGAGAAAUUCCGGGAUUUUCAAGAGGAAGGCAGUGAGAGCGCUGUCCAGGCAGCGGAGGUACUGCGGAUAACUAUUGAAGAUGGAGACGUCAUCCUUUCUCAAAUUCACUUUGCCAAACGCAGCCAAGAAAAAGCGACUCAAGACAGUCGGCGUGACCCACCGCUCCCAGCGCAGGUCUGACAAUUACGCUGCCGAGCACUAUAGCUUUCCGUUUGACGUCCUGUAGGAUCAAAUCCCUCCCCGUGCCGAGGCGCAGGUUCACUAAACUCUUUGACAGCUUUGCUAUUUAAGAUCAGGAUCAGCCCCCUACUCCAAAUUGUAAGGAGCAUAUUACUCUCCAGAUACUUCAUUAAUCUCCAUCACGCCUGCCUAGCACUGUCAACAGCUGACAGCGGGGACAAUGCCACCUGCUCCUCUCCCCACUUGUGCAGAUAAUGCAUGUUUUACAGUAGGCCAGAUGUCUACACUCAAUAAAACAUUUGACAAAACCAA